rnacentral:rRNA from 1 species
GAUGAACGCUGGCGGCGUGCCUAAUACAUGCAAGUCGAGCGAACAGACGAGGAGCUUGCUCCUCUGACGUUAGCGGCGGACGGGUGAGUAACACGUGGAUAACCUACCUAUAAGACUGGGAUAACUUCGGGAAACCGGAGCUAAUACCGGAUAAUAUAUUGAACCGCAUGGUUCAAUAGUGAAAGACGGUUUUGCUGUCACUUAUAGAUGGAUCCGCGCCGCAUUAGCUAGUUGGUAAGGUAACGGCUUACCAAGGCAACGAUGCGUAGCCGACCUGAGAGGGUGAUCGGCCACACUGGAACUGAGACACGGUCCAGACUCCUACGGGAAGCAGCAGUAGGGAAUCUUCCGCAAUGGGCGAAAGCCUGACGGAGCAACGCCGCGUGAGUGAUGAAGGUCUUCGGAUCGUAAAACUCUGUUAUUAGGGAAGAACAAAUGUGUAAGUAACUAUGCACGUCUUGACGGUACCUAAUCAGAAAGCCACGGCUAACUACGUG